CCUACGGGAGGCAGCAGUGGGGAAUAUUGGGCAAUGGGCGCAAGCCUGACCCAGCAACGCCGCGUGAAGGAAGACUGCCCUCGGGUUGUAAACUUAUUUUGUCAGGGACGCAGAAAGAGACGGUACCUGAUGAAUAAGCCACGGCUAACUACGCGCCAGCAGCAGCGGAAAUACGUAGGUGGCAAGCGUUAUCCGGAUCUAUUGGGUUUAAAGGGUGCGAUGGCGGAAGAUCAAGUCAGCGGUAAAAUUGAGAGCCUCAACCUCUUCGUGCCGUUGAAACUGGUUUUCUUGAGUGAGCGAGAAGUAUGCGGAAUGCGUGGUGUAGCGGUGAAAUGCAUAGAUAUCACGCAGAACUCCGAUUGCGAAGGCAGCAUACCGGCGCUCAACUGACGCUCAUGCACGAAAGUGUGGGUAUCGAACAGGAUUAGAUACCCUAGUAGUC
rnacentral:rRNA from 1 species